UACGUAGGGUGCGAGCGUUGUCCGGAAUUAUUGGGCGUAAAGGGCUCGUAGGCGGUUUGUUGCGUCAGGAGUGAAAACUCGGGGCUUAACCCCGAGCCUGCUUCUGAUACGGGCAGACUUGAGGUAUGCAGGGGGAGAACGGAAUUCCUGGUGUAGCGGUGAAAAUGCGCAGAUAUCAGGAGGAACACCAAUUGCGAAGGCAGCUCGCUGGGACGUAACUGACGCUGAGACGCGAAAAGCGUGGGGGAGCAAACAGG
rnacentral:rRNA from 1 species